CUAGCCAAGGAGGUCCUCUCUUUGUCUGGAACACUCUUUGCUCUAGAUGAGUAUUAUUGAUUGUAUUGCGGAUACAAAGAUAUCCUUGCCCAGUCAAUACGAGCUACAGAGGAUGAUAAGGGAGUAUCGGAACUCUGAUACAGCAAAUGCUGUGAAUGGAGUGGUCUUCAACGAAAACAUCAAACUCCACCAAAGAGUGUCCUUGACAAAGAAAGAACCUCCUUGGCUAG